UUAAAAGCUUUGAACAAGAGUAGUAGUAUUUAUUCUAUAUAAAGAGAACUGUUGGUUGGUGGGAAACAGUAUAGAAAAAUAUGAACUUGCUUGGGAGCCUGUCUAUAAAAAGUAGACACGGGUAAAACCGUUAUUUUUAUAAGAGAAAUCUAUAAUUUAUAGGUUUAAUUAGAGUGGUACCGCGAAUAACCCUUCGUCUCUAUA
rnacentral:ncRNA from 1 species